GAUGAACGCUAGCGACAGGCUUAACACAUGCAAGUCGAGGGGCAGCAGGGGAGUAGCAAUACUCCCGCUGGCGACCGGCGCACGGGUGAGUAACACGUAUGCAACCUGCCCUUGUCAGGGGGAUAAGCGGAAGAAAUUCCGUCUAAUACCGCAUAAUGCUGCGGGGAGACAUCUCCCUGCAGCCAAAGAUUUAUCGGACAAGGAUGGGCAUGCGGCGCAUUAGCUGGUUGGCGGGGUAACGGCCCACCAAGGCGACGAUGCGUAGGGGUUCUGAGAGGAAGGUCCCCCACACUGGUACUGAGACACGGACCAGACUCCUACGGGAGGCAGCAGUGAGGAAUAUUGGUCAAUGGCCGGGAGGCUGAACCAGCCAAGUCGCGUGAGGGAAGACGGUCCUAUGGAUUGUAAGCCUCUUUUGUCAGGGAGCAAAAACUGCCACGCGUGGCAGGAUGAGAGUACCUGAAGAAAAAGCAUCGGCUAACUCCGUGCCAGCAGCCGCGGUAAUACGGAGGAUGCGAGCGUUAUCCGGAUUUAUUGGGUUUAAAGGGUGCGUAGGCGGACAGUUAAGUCAGCGGUAAAAUUGAGAGGCUCAACCUCUUCCCGCCGUUGAAACUGAUUGUCUUGAGUGGGCGAGAAGUAUGCGGAAUGCGUGGUGUAGCGGUGAAAUGCAUAGAUAUCACGCAGAACUCCGAUUGCGAAGGCAGCAUACCGGCGCCCAACUGACGCUGAAGCACGAAAGCGUGGGUAUCGAACAGGAUUAGAUACCCUGGUAGUCCACGCAGUAAACGAUGAAUACUAAUUGUUCGGGUCAAAUGAGAUCUGAGUGAUACAGCGAAAGCGUUAAGUAUUCCACCUGGGGAGUACGCCGGCAACGGUGAAACUCAAAGGAAUUGACGGGGGCCCGCACAAGCGGAGGAACAUGUGGUUUAAUUCGAUGAUACGCGAGGAACCUUACCCGGGCUCAAACGACACAGGAAUGAUCUGAGAAAUCAGGCAGUCCUCCGGGACCUGUGUCGAGGUGCUGCAUGGUUGUCGUCAGCUCGUGCCGUGAGGUGUCGGCUUAAGUGCCAUAACGAGCGCAACCCCCAUCGACAGUUGCCAGCAGGUGAAGCUGGGCACUCUGUCGAGACUGCCGGCGCAAGCUGUGAGGAAGGCGGGGAUGACGUCAAAUCAGCACGGCCCUUACGUCCGGGGCGACACACGUGUUACAAUGGCAGGUACAGCGGGAAGCCACCUGGCGACAGGGAGCGGAACCCGAAAGCCUGUCUCAGUUCGGAUUGGAGUCUGCAACUCGACUCCAUGAAGCUGGAUUCGCUAGUAAUCGCGCAUCAGCCACGGCGCGGUGAAUACGUUCCCGGGCCU
rnacentral:rRNA from 1 species